UCCUCCGUAGCUCAACGGCAGAGCACUCGACUGUUAAUCGAGUGGUUGCUGGUUCGAAUCCAGCCGGAGGAGC
rnacentral:tRNA from 1 species